AUUGAACGCUGGCGGCAUGCUCUACACAUGCAAGUCGAACGGUAACAGGCCGCAAGGUGCUGACGAGUGGCGAACGGGUGAGUAAUGCAUCGGAACGUGCCCAGUCGUGGGGGAUAACUACUCGAAAGAGUAGCUAAUACCGCAUACGAUCUAUGGAUGAAAGCGGGGGACCGUAAGGCCUCGCGCGAUUGGAGCGGCCGAUGUCAGAUUAGGUAGUUGGUGGGGUAAAGGCUCACCAAGCCAACGAUCUGUAGCUGGUCUGAGAGGAGGACCAGCCACACUGGGACGGAGACACGGCCCAGGCUCCUACGGGAGGCAGCAGUGGGGAAUUUUGGACAAUGGGCGCAAGCCUGAUCCAGCAAUGCCGCGUGCAGGAAGAAGGCCUUCGGGUUGUAAACUGCUUUUGUACGGAACGAAACGGCUCUGGUUAAUACCCGGGGCUAAUGACGGUACCGUAAGAAUAAGCACCGGCUAACUACGUG
rnacentral:rRNA from 1 species